UGCUUGAUAAAGCGGUCCUCCAAUCUAUGUCAGGUCUUAUCAAAGUAGAGAAGGCUGCGUCAGGAACACUGGACACAAUGGAUUACCCAAACAGAUUUGCAGGUGAAGUGUUGCCUCACCUGGAAGGACUGUUUCAGGCACUGAAUGGAGGUGAAUGGGCAGGUUUCACUUACAGAGUGCGGAGAUCAGAUUUGUCUUUUGGCAUCCUCUUGAAUUUGGACAAGCUGUUCAGCCUGGUGUCCAAGGUUUCAUGGUGGCUAACAGAUUUUCCCAGAGUUCCUGUCCUCCCUUGGCCACGCCGAAGUGUCUGUCCCUCCCAAGGGAGCAAAGGCACUCUCUGCAAGAGAGCUGAACUCUGUGGUUGAGCAAACAAAGAGAUCUGGCAGAUUCAACCUCCUGCUCCAGGGGAUUUUCCACAGGCAGUCUUCCUGGUUUCAAGAUCAUUUAUUGUCAUUCUUCAGUACACAAAUGAAAGAGAUCCAGCACAGCCACAGGAUUUCCUGGUCCACGAGUCCGCACAGUCACGUGACCAACCCACCUACUAACC